GACGAACGCUGGCGGCGUGCCUAAUACAUGCAAGUUGAGCGCUGAAGGUUGGUACUUGUACCAACUGGAUGAGCAGCGAACGGGUGAGUAACGCGUGGGGAAUCUGCCUUUGAGCGGGGGACAACAUUUGGAAACGAAUGCUAAUACCGCAUAAAAACUUUAAACACAAGUUUUAAGUUUGAAAGAUGCAAUUGCAUCACUCAAAGAUGAUCCCGCGUUGUAUUAGCUAGUUGGUGAGGUAAAGGCUCACCAAGGCGAUGAUACAUAGCCGACCUGAGAGGGUGAUCGGCCACAUUGGGACUGAGACACGGCCCAAACUCCUACGGGAGGCAGCAGUAGGGAAUCUUCGGCAAUGGACGAAAGUCUGACCGAGCAACUCCGCGUGAGUGAAGAAGGUUUUCGGAUCGUAAAACUCUGUUGGUAGAGAAGAACGUUGGUGAGAGUGGAAAGCUCAUCAAGUGACGGUAACUACACAGAAAGGGACGGCUAACUACGUG
rnacentral:rRNA from 1 species